rnacentral:lncRNA from 1 species
GUAUAAUUAGUGGCUAACGCUCGAGCCUCAAAUUUUGCUAUUUUAUCUCCUAGACCUAGUAUAUGUUCGUGGCCCUUAAAGGUAGACAAACAUUUCAUGUGUAUGUGGCGUUCGGAAAUAUUCCAUAAAUUGCUACGAUUUGGGAUUUCCCGAUUGAAAACCGAAAUGAUUUGUGCGAUGUCGCGGGCCGAAUUGCCAACCGAGCGCGCUAGCCGCUGUUACUGUAUUUCGACAGAAUAUGAUACCUCUACACUUUUCAGCCGUAAUUUUCAGCGCGCAUUGUAAAUAUCGUUUAAUUUAGCUU